ACGACUUCUCUGUGACUCCUACGGGAGGCAGCAGUGGGGAAUAGUUGCACAAUGGGCGCAAGCCUGAUGCAGCCAUGCCGCGUGUGUGAAGAAGGCCUUCGGGUUGUUAAAGCACUUUCUAGUUGUGAGGAAGGUGGUGUCGUUAAUAGCGGCAUCAUUUGACGUUAGCAACAGAAGAAGCACCGGCUAACUCCGUGCCAGCAGCCGCGGUAAUACGGAGGGUGCGAGCGUUAAUCGGAAUUACUGGGCGUAAAGCGCAUGCAGGUGGUUUGUUAAGUCAGAUGUGAAAGCCCGGGGCUCAACCCUCGGAACUGCAUUUGAAACUGGCAGACUAGAGUACUGUAGAGGGGGUAGAAGUUUCAGGUGUAGCGGUGAAAUGCGUAGAGAUCUGAAGGAAUACCGGUGGCGAAGGCGGCCCCCUGGACAGAUACUGACACUCAGAUGCGAAAGCGUGGGGAGCAAACAGGAUUAGAUACCCUGGUAG
rnacentral:rRNA from 1 species